rnacentral:rRNA from 1 species
AAAGCUGGCUUAGGCCCGCAUUGUAAUUUGCAGAGGAUGCUUUUGGUGAGGUGCCUUCCGAGUUCCCUGGAACGGGACGCCACAGAGGGUGAGAGCCCCGUAUGGAUGGACACCAAACCUGUGUAAAGCUCCUUCAACGAGUCGAGUAGUUUGGGAAUGCUGCUCAAAAUGGGAGGUAAAUCUCUUCUAAAGCUAAAUACCGGCCAGAGACCGAUAGCGCACAAGUAGAGUGAUCGAAAGAUGAAAAGCACCUUGAAAAGGGGGUUAAACAGUACGUGAAAUUGUUGAAAGGGAAGCGCUUGUGACCAGACUUGCGCCGGGCAGCUCAUCAGGGGUUCUCCCCUGUGCACUCUGCCCGGCUCAGGCCAGCAUCGGUUCUCGUGGGAGGAUAAGAACAGUAGGAAUGUGGCCCCCUCUCGGGGGGGUGUUAUAGCCUAUUGUACGAUACUCUCG